AUCUAUGCCCUGAUAGGUCUUCAGUUACUCAUGGUGAAACAUAUAAGCCUUGAAAAACUUUUUGUAUGGAGUUGUGCUGGGAAGCAGUUUUUCUACCAGGGACAACAUCUUCUAGUCCCUUUACAUCUAAGUAGUACCAUGCCAAAGAAAUGUUUUUUUCUUUGUAAAAAAACAAAAAAUGUAAGUAGUAUCAUGCCAAAGAAAUGUUUUGGAAGUGAGAUGUUUCACUUUGGAACCAAGGAACUGAAAAAACAGAUAGAGGGAGCCCGAGCCAAGAAGAGAGGUCUGGUAUCAAAGAUUUGCUGAAUUCACAAUUGCAGAGGCUUAUGUCAGCCCCUUAGAAAGAAUUUGAGGACUCCUUGGAAAAUUGCUGAGUUGAGUAAAUAUUCCCUUCCAUAAAGGUAAAUGAGCAUCUCAAGAGCAAGUUACUACAUUUUGUAUUUCCCUGUUUUCUUUUCUGUAAAAUUGUGCAACCAAGAAUUAUGACCUACUGAUAUUAGAAUAAAAUUUGCAGAAGUUUGACUACAUGA
rnacentral:lncRNA from 1 species